AGCUAAUGACGUGGUACACCUCGCAAGAAACGGAAGUUCCUGUGACUUCUUCAGCAUCUGAACACACACCACAAGACCAUGGCUACUACCCCAAACCUGCUUUGCCUGGAGCAUCUCAAAGCAGCCGCUGGCCCUUGCAAAGCCUUUCCUGUGUGACAGCUGCGACCAGACACGCUCCCGUGAGCCUGCCUCAGACGUACUCAUUGACUCCUCAGGAUCGUCCCAUGAGAGCUUAGACGCAUGUCCAGACGCCGGCUGUAAAUCCUCCCUGGCUGUAAAGGACAAUGUAAACAGUAUGGGUGCCGUUUAAACAGUCCCCAGCGUGGCACCGGCAGCGCCAUUUGAAAUGCCUCCAUCUUUCUAAAGAGAAACAGAUGUUUGAAGAGCGGAGCUGAGCAGAAGCCAUUCUUCAAACAGAAGAUUAAAGCAUC